UCAUGUCUAGUAUAAAUAACUUUAUAUUGUGAAACUGCGAAUGGCUCAUUAAAUCAGUUAUGAUCUACGUGACAAAUUCUUUACUACUUGGAUAACCGUGGUAAUUCUAGAGCUAAUACAUGCAAAAAAGCCCUGACUCACGAAGGGGUGCACUUAUUAGAUAAAACCAACGCGGGGUAAAACCUGUUUCGUGGUGAAUCAUAAUAAUUAAGCGGAUCGCAUGGCCUUGAGCCGGCGACGGUCCACUCGAUUUUCUGCCCUAUCAUGGUUGAGAUUGUAAGAUAGAGGCUUACAAUGCCUAUAACGGGUAACGGGGAAUUAGGGUUCGAUUCCGGAGAGGGAGCCUGAGAAACGGCUACCACAUCCAAGGAAGGCAGCAGGCGCGCAAAUUACCCAAUCCCGACACGGGGAGGUAGUGACAAUACAUAACAAUGCAGGGCCUUUACGGUCUUGCAAUUGGAAUGAGUACAAUUUAAAUCCCUUAACGAGGAUCAAUUGGAGGGCAAGUCUGGUGCCAGCAGCCGCGGUAAUUCCAGCUCCAAUAGCGUAUAUUAAAGUUGUUGCAGUUAAAACGUCCGUAGUCAAACUUUAGUCUUACCGGCGCGGUGGCCUGGUCUUCAUUGAUCAAGCUCGCUGUCGCUGGAGACUCCACGUCCGCUGGCUCCUAGUCCUCGUGGCUAGGGUUUUGUGGACAAUUACCAUGAGCAAAUCAGAGUGUUUAAAGCAGGCUUUUAAGCUUGAAUGUGUUAGCAUGGAAUAAUGAAAUAUGACUUUAGUCCUAUUUUCGUUGGUUUAGGUACUAUAGUAAUGAUUAAUAGAAACGGUUGGGGGCAUUUGUAUUUGGCCGCUAGAGGUGAAAUUCUUGGAUUGGCCGAAGACAAACUACUGCGAAAGCAUUUGACCCAGGACGUUUUCAUUGAUCAAGGUCUAAAGUUAAGGGAUCGAAGACGAUUAGAUACCGUCGUAGUCUUAACCACAAACUAUGCCGACUAGAGAUUGGGCGUGUUUCUUUUGACUCGCUCAGCAUCUUAGCGAAAGUAAAGUUUUUGGGUUCUGGGGGGAGUAUGGGACGCAAGGCUGAAACUUAAAGGAAUUGACGGAAGGGCGCACCCCGGAGUGGAGCCUGCGGGUUAAUUUUAUUCACACCGGGGAAAUUCCCCCGGUCCCAACAUAUUAAGGAUGGACAAAUGAAAGACCUUUCUAAAUCUAUGGGGGGGGGGGCAGGGCGCUCUUAUUCUGGGAGAGAUGUGUUGGGUGAUUCCCAAAAGAAGAGAAACUAUUCUUGUAUUUACAAGGAAAACUUUUUCG
rnacentral:rRNA from 1 species